UACUAGGAUCGUCGGGGAACGGUUUCGAUGACUAUGAUGACCCCGCUCAUUGCAGACUUCUCGCGGAACAGCUCGAGCGAGACACGACCGCGUUUACUUUAUCCGUAUCGUGCGCUGCUUAUUCAUGUUCGUGAGCAUCAGCGAAAUGUAGGAAGUCAAAAGAUCGUCCAUUUUGUACCCGAGCGAGGUCUCGCACAGCAGCUUCGAGCCUCGCACCAAGUUGCCGAUCGUCAUGUGGAAAAUAAGAUCGUGAAACGAAGAACUGCGCGAAUCAACAACGUCGAAGCUGUUCAAACGUCUCUCCCGAAUCACCUUUGUUUGUGGAUGUAUCAGGCUGACUCCGUGUUUAUUGAUCGCGAUCAAUAACAAUUCCGGAUAAUUCGGUUCCGUGCUCUGUUUCACCUCGAAGAACGCCGACCCGAACGUUGGCCAUCGAUAGACGAUCUUCAAGAACGUGAUCUUCGCGUCUUCCGGACUCAUUCCUGUUUCGUAUAAGAAUUGUGUGAACGUCGAACGAUAUACGAGACGCGAUCGAUCGUUGCCAACUUACCAGCAUCUUGGUUGUACGCCGCUAUUAUCGAUCUCUUCCAAUCGUUGGAGCUCUGCACCUUUACCAAAUCGCCGGGUAUCAGUUCCCUCAGCAUUUGUCUGGAAAAACGAGCACGUACAGUGAUUCACAUUAAUAAUCGGACACAUUUUAAAACGCAAUAUCUUUUUUAGAACUGGACUAAACGAUUUGUAUCUUUUCUUCGCUGAUUGAGGGAUUAGUAUACAAUGGCCAAAUUACUUUGUUAUGAUUUUGCUAUUACUUGGAGCGACGAAACAACUCGUUUAUUAACCUUUUUGUCUGAGCCUAUAACGAAAAUUUAAAAAAAUAUAAUGGAUAUCGAACGACUUCCUAGCCCGAAGCUUUCUUGCGGAAGUAACAACAGAUAUUACGAUAGAGACGCUUCCACUCACGGGAUCGCUUGAAGUUCUUGCUUGCUCUCGCCGAAACGGACCCUGUAGACCAACGCCGCCAGCCUGGACGCUUCCUCUUUAGUGCACUUGUGGUAGCCUGUCGAGGACCGGUAAUCGCAUCAGUGAAAUCGUUUAGGCAACUCCUGGUGGAAAUGGAAAAUCAGAUCGGCGUUCCUAUCUUUGCCGGGCACGGUAUUGGUCCACAACUUUUUCAUGAAGAAAACUUGAAAUAGCAGAGCGAAGAUCGACGAGACCGAGCGUACCGUCGCGAGACGGUCGAGCUUUCCUGAUCCAGUCCGUCAGAUGGCGUACGAAGUCGAAGAAGAAGUCGCCUUCGGGAACCGAGAUGACCUUGUCGGCGAUCUUGACGAACAGGCUGAACCCUUCCGCGGAUCUCAAGUUCAGCCUCUGCGCAAUAUUCUGGCAGAAGUCUUUCGCUCUCGUGGACGAGUCUACCUCGAACGCCUGUGCAACGGGAAACGCUUAGAAAAGUUGUCAAACGUCAGGCAAAAAGCGGUGAGCGAAGUUUGCUCUAGUAACUUUAAGAGGUCGCAAAUAAUCUUAUAUUUAUAUUAUAUUAUAACAACUUGAAAAAUACCUACAAAAUUGAGGGCAUAUCGAACAUAAACUUCUUCGUUUUAUCGCCUUCAAA